UGACAGUUGUUCUUUUGAUAAAUAUUUCAAACCAUGGUUCUUGUGCCUGUGGUUCCUUGUUGAAAGUAGCUAACCUUAUUCUUUGACAAAAUCAUGUAGAUACACAUAGUUGCUAAUGCUGAAGGUAAUACUUCUCUCCUUUCCUCUGCUUUGAAAAGCUUUCUGGAUCUUCUAAUCUUCUUAUGUAUCAUUUUUCAAUUUUGGGAAAUAUGGUAGGUGACAGUUGUUCUUUUGAUAAAUAUUUCAAACCAUGGUUCUUGUGCCAGUGGUUCCUUGUUGAAAGUAGCUAACAUUAUUAUUUGACAAAAUCAUGCAGAUACACAUAGUUGCUAAUGCUGAAGGUAAUACUUCUCUCCUUUCCUCUGCUUUGAAAAGCUUUCUGGAUCUUCUACUCUUCUUAUGUAUCAUUUUUCAAUUUUGGGAAAUAUGGUAGGUGACUGUUGUUCUUUUGGUAAAUAUUUCAAACCAUGGUUCUUGUGCCUGUGGUUCCUUGUUGAAAGUAGCUAACCUUAUUCUUUGACAAAAUCAUGCAGAUACCACUCACUGGCCCCAAUUCAGUCGUUGGGAGAGCCUUAGUGGUUCACGAGCUUGAAGAUGACCUUGAAAAGGGUUAGUUCGUUUAUUUUAAACAUUUCUUCAUAUUUUCCUUAUGAUUUGUGCUAUAGAUGAAAAUACUGUAUAAUGGGUUUACAAAAAAUAAUGAAGUAAACUGAUGAAAUUUUAUUGAUAGACCAUGAAGGAAAUACUGAAGUUGGUGCACGUAAGUACAUUUUCUUUUUUUAUUACUUUCAAUAUCUAAUGUUUAUUUUAAAAUUAUUCAGGUAUAUUCAUCGUGUAUGUAUUGAUAAUUCCACAUCUGAAGUGUGAUGUAAAUUAUAAUUCUAUAUUUAAUUUUAUGAUAAUUAUUCACUAAUUAUGUCGUUCAUUUGUAGACAAGGAAACAACAUAACUCUAAUAAUUGUGGGUACUAUGUGAUGAAAAAUAUGUUGGCUAUUGUCUCUGCCAAUAUAACCGAAUCUUGGAUGCAGGUAUUUGAUGAUCCUACAGAAUUAACACAAGAUGAUUUGUAUGAUUUGCGACUCCAUUGGGCAAAAUGUUUCUUUGAGUUAUAUAAAGAUUAAGCUUUAUCUGCAAAUGUAAUUUUGGUGUUGUCUUCAGAAGUUACAACUCAUCUUCUCGUGGAUGCACGUUGGUAUUUCAAGUGUGCUAAAGGACUUAAAUGGUUGGAUAUUUGUUGUUUUGUUAUUUUGUAGUAGUCCAC